rnacentral:rRNA from 1 species
GACGAACGCUGGCGGCGUGCCUAAUACAUGCAAGUCGAGCGAACAGACGAGGAGCUUGCUCCUCUGACGUUAGCGGCGGACGGGUGAGUAACACGUGGAUAACCUACCUAUAAGACUGGGAUAACUUCGGGAAACCGGAGCUAAUACCGGAUAAUAUAUUGAACCGCAUGGUUCAAUAGUGAAAGACGGUUUUGCUGUCACUUAUAGAUGGAUCCGCGCCGCAUUAGCUAGUUGGUAAGGUAACGGCUUACCAAGGCAACGAUGCGUAGCCGACCUGAGAGGGUGAUCGGCCACACUGGACCUGAGACACGGUCCAGACUCCUACGGGAGGCAGCAGUAGGGAAUCUGCCGCAAUGGGCGAAAGCCUGACGGAGCAACGCCGCGUGAGUGAUGAAGGUCUUCGGAUCGUAAAACUCUGUUAUUAGGGAAGAACAAAUGUGUAAGUAACUAUGCACGUCUUGACGGUACCUAAUCAGAAAGCCACGGCUAACUACGU